CGGGGGAGAUUGCUUCGGUGAUUGACCUAGCGGCGGACNGNNGAGUAAUACUUAGGAAUCUGCCUAUUAAUGGGGGACAACAUCUCGAAAGGGAUGCUAAUACCGCAUACGCCCUACGGGGGAAAGCAGGGGAUCACUUGUGACCUUGCGUUAAUAGAUGAGCCUAAGUCGGAUUAGCUAGUUGGUGGGGUAAAGGCCUACCAAGGCGACGAUCUGUAGCGGGUCUGAGAGGAUGAUCCGCCACACUGGGACUGAGACACGGCCCAGACUCCUACGGGAGGCAGCAGUGGGGAAUAUUGGACAAUGGGGGGAACCCUGAUCCAGCCAUGCCGCGUGUGUGAAGAAGGCCUUAUGGUUGUAAAGCACUUUAAGCGAGGAGGAGGCUCUCNUGGUUAAUACCCANGAUGAGUGGACGUUACUCGCAGAAUAAGCACCGGCUAACUCUGUGCCAGCAGCCGCGGUAAUACAGAGGGUGCGAGCGUUAAUCGGAUUUACUGGGCGUAAAGCGUGCGUAGGCGGCUUUUUAAGUCGGAUGUGAAAUCCCCGAGCUUAACUUGGGAAUUGCAUUCGAUACUGGGAAGCUAGAGUAUGGGAGAGGAUGGUAGAAUUCCAGGUGUAGCGGUGAAAUGCGUAGAGAUCUGGAGGAAUACCGAUGGCGAAGGCAGCCAUCUGGCCUAAUACUGACGCUGAGGUACGAAAGCAUGGGGAGCAAACAGGAUUAGAUACCCUGGUAGUCCAUGCCGUAAACGAUGUCUACUAGCCGUUGGGGCCUUUGAGGCUUUAGUGGCGCAGCUAACGCGAUAAGUAGACCGCCUGGGGAGUACGGUCGCAAGACUAAAACUCAAAUGAAUUGACGGGGGCCCGCACAAGCGGUGGAGCAUGUGGUUUAAUUCGAUGCAACGCGAAGAACCUUACCUGGUCUUGACA
rnacentral:rRNA from 1 species